rnacentral:lncRNA from 7 species
AGCAGGAUAAGGAACUAAAGAAUGACGCUGACUCUGAGCCACAGGCUGAAGAGUGGGGAGUAAACUAGGGGAAAGAACAGCAACAAUUGUGUUGGAGAUCUGGGGAGACUGAAGGAGUGGAGUGGUGGGUUGUUUUAUGGGGAAGUCAAAGUUAAGGCUGGCCAGCUGAUGGUAACUGCAUGGAGGGCGAUGUUGAGAUGCAAGAAAGACUUUGACGUGAGCCUACAAUACACCUGGAAGGAUCCCACACCCAGAUGGGUAACAUCAGUCAAUGCUCAGCCCACCGGUUGCUGGGAUAUUGGGUCAGCCAGCCCUGGUUCCCUUCAGAUCACGUGAGCAUGGAACAGUCUGACCCACCUGGGUUGCAAAAAUAACAUCCAGUAAUGAAAUGAAAACAAGCUGAAUGGCUGCAUUGAGCGGAGGAGGGCAGAGGUAGUCUCAGACAGCUGGAGCAUGUCUGGGCCAGUGUCUCACUGCUUUUCUCCCUGCUAGUUCAGUGCCACUCCAGGAAUACAGACAAUGCUGGCUACGGCUGCUUCAUAUUUGAUUUCCACACUUAAAUUCUGCUUGUUAAGUAAAACCCCAUUGUCAGGCUGGCAGGCAGCCACGCUCCCUCCCCAGCCUUGCCUCCUAGCUUCUCUG